rnacentral:rRNA from 1 species
CCUACGGGAGGCAGCAGUGAGGAAUAUUGGUCAAUGGACGAGAGUCUGAACCAGCCAAGUAGCGUGAAGGAUGACUGCCCUAUGGGUUGUAAACUUCUUUUAUAUGGGAAUAAAAUGUUCCACGUGUGGGAUUUUGUAUGUACCAUAUGAAUAAGGAUCGGCUAACUCCGUGCCAGCAGCCGCGGUAAUACGGAGGAUCCGAGCGUUAUCCGGAUUUAUUGGGUUUAAAGGGAGAGUAGGUGGAUUGUUAAGUCAGUUGUGAAAGUUUGCGGCUCAACCGUAAAAUUGCAGUUGAAACUGGCAGUCUUGAGUACAGUAGAGGUGGGCGGAAUUCGUGGUGUAGCGGUGAAAUGCUUAGAUAUCACGAAGAACUCCGAUUGCGAAGGCAGUUCACUGGACUGCAACUGACACUGAGGCUCGAAAGUGUGGGUAUCAAACAGGAUUAGAUACCCCAGUAGUC